rnacentral:rRNA from 1 species
GAUGAACGCCGGCGGUGUGCCUAAUACAUGCAAGUCGUACGCACUGGCCCAACUGAUUAAUGGUGCUUGCACCUGAUUGACGAUGGAUCACCAGUGAGUGGCGGACGGGUGAGUAACACGUAGGUAACCUGCCCCGGAGCGGGGGAUAACAUUUGGAAACAGAUGCUAAUACCGCAUAACAACAAAAGCCAUAUGGCUUUUGUUUGAAAGAUGGCUUUGGCUAUCACUCUGGGAUGGACCUGCGGUGCAUUAGCUAGUUGGUAAGGUAACGGCUUACCAAGGCGAUGAUGCAUAGCCGAGUUGAGAGACUGAUCGGCCACAAUGGAACUGAGACACGGUCCAUACUCCUACGGGAGGCAGCAGUAGGGAAUCUUCCACAAUGGGCGCAAGCCUGAUGGAGCAACACCGCGUGAGUGAAGAAGGGUUUCGGCUCGUAAAGCUCUGUUGUUGGAGAAGAACGUGCGUGAGAGUAACUGUUCACGCAGUGACGGUAUCCAACCAGAAAGUCACGGCUAACUACGUGCCAGCAGCCGCGGUAAUACGUAGGUGGCAAGCGUUAUCCGGAUUUAUUGGGCGUAAAGCGAGCGCAGGCGGUUGCUUAGGUCUGAUGUGAAAGCCUUCGGCUUAACCGAAGAAGUGCAUCGGAAACCGGGCGACUUGAGUG